rnacentral:lncRNA from 1 species
AUUCUUCCUUAAUUUCUCUUCCAAAAAUCUCAUUUCUUUCUUUUAUGAAUCUUGUUUUAUAUUAAUGUUCGUUUAAUUUUUUUUAUCAGUAAAUUAAAAUUGGCGGUUUAUAGUCUCGGGAAGAUUGAUUAGAGGCGGCUCAAGUCUAUUUGAGGCGAAAGGCAAAAAAUCUUGGUGAGGACGUCCUCCAUACAGUUUUAUAGUAUAAUUAAAUUCUAUUUUAAUUUUUCUUUACUUUUCGAGGUAGGAAUUAGUAAUUAAGUUAUAUUCAUUUAAGCUUUUAAAUGUCAUAGUACGACAACUCCAUUGAAUCUCAUUUGUGACAUAGUAGAUCUUAAAUUUAUUAAAUAAUUUUACUUUUGAAGAUUAAUUUUACUCAGGUGGGUUAAGAUGAAAACUCCUUUAAAGGUAACUUUGCCGGUAAAAAUCUUGAUUUUGUGUUCAAGAAGUCAUCAGUUCGAAUUCCCUCAUAGUCAUUGAAGAUUUGCUCAACCGGUAACUUCAUGACUCGUAAAUUAGUCUCUCACACCAAGUGAGUUGGAUGAGAUACUAAGCUCUAGAAAAAAAAAAGAUGGGUGGAGAUUAAGUCCACCCUCAUAUAUAUCAUAGGCUUACAUAAAAAUCUAAUGUAAUGUUUGAAUCAACGAAAAUAGAAAAUGUAGAUGAUCUAAUUAUCUCAAACGGUUGAAUCCCAAACACUAUCACAUGUUUAGCCUAAUUAGGAUGUACUAACACUAUCACACGUUGAGAGAGAGAGAGAGAGUACUAACUCUAGCAAAUUAGAGAGAUGGUUAACUAAUCCACUAUGUGAUUUCUAAUUGCAGAGAGUACUAACUCUAGCAAAUUAGAGAGAUGGUUAACUAAUCCACUAUGUGAUUUCUAAUUGCGCUUAGGACAAUCCGUAAAAGGCCAAGUAACUUACUACAUACUGUACCUCACGUCACACCAAUUUUAAAGUCCAAGUUAAAAUCUUUUAAUCGAAAUUUAGUUAACUUAUUUUAGUUUUUUGAUUGAAUCUUUUUAUUUUUUAUGUUCGUCUUGAUUAGAAGAAUAAAAAAAUAUAAAAAAUAUUUACAAAAUAGCCACUAGAGAAUUAAGAUCAUCCACAUUAGUCUAUCUAAAUUUGAGUCAAAUUAUAACUCAAAAAUUAUAUUUUUUGACUUAGUCAUUUUUUAAACACUAACUCUAUCAGCAUCUUCGUUCUAGUUAUAUUUCAUUAGAAUAUUAAUCUUUACUAUUUUUUUGCUAUUUCAUUGUAUGGUGCAAGUUUUUUUUUUUUGCUAUGGCUUUAUUAUUGAAAUGGUCACAUUAUUUCAAUGGUGAUAUUUUUAAAAUAUUCAUAUUGUUCCAACAAUAUUAUUUUUUUAUAAAGUUGAUUUUUACGAUAAUUAUAUGAUUUAUAUUUUUAUCUGACCUCAUAAAAUAAUGCUAUGUGGCUCUUAAUUGAACAACAUAUAAAUGGAAGAGCCAAGUGUAUAGAGUUGAUUGAUACAAUUAGAAUUGAAAAAUGCAAAUAUAUAUAUAUAAAGUAAAAAUUUAAAGUGCAAAAUGUAAUUUAUGCAAAGAAUUUAACAUGUGAACAAUGCUUGGUCAAAAAAUACUGUAGCAAAACUAAAUAUAUAUAGGUUAUUUUGGCUAUUUUAAGGUGGACCAUUUUAAAAGUUUUGCUUGC